rnacentral:lncRNA from 1 species
CUCUGUUGCCCAGGAUGGAGUGCAGUGGCAUGAUCAUGGCUCACUGCAGCCUCCGCCUCCCUGGCUCAAGCGAUCCUACCACCUCAGCCUCCUGAAUAGCCAGGACUACAGGCACAUGUUACCAAGCAUAGCUAAAUUUUUUUCUAUUUUUUGUAGAGAUGAGGUCUUGCCAUGUUGCCCAGGCUGGUCUUGAACUGAGAAGCCAUCUGCCCGCCUCAGCCCCCCAAAGUGCUGGGAUUACAGGCGUGAACCACCAUACCCGGCCUGUUUCCAAGUUCUUCUUACUUUGCUCUCUUUUAAUUAUCUUUGUGUCAAAACAUAGAUCAAAAUUUUCUGUUACAUAAUAUGGGACCCCUCACACAACUGUCAGUGCUGUAUUAAGUGAAGACAAGAGGGAUUCAACUUUUCACUAUACAACUAAACUCUUUAAGAAUUUGUCAUCCAACAAUUUUUCCUCUAGCCACUGUGAAUUUCUUAUGGUUCUUUCCUUAAGUUUGGUUACAAUAAUCAGACCUCCACUCAAAUUGCUUAAGUAAAAAGGGAGAAAUCUCAGGAGGUUACCUCUUACAGAAAUAUGACUUGACCACAAAAGAACCGGAACUAGAAUUUGGAGGUGGUUCCUAAACCUGUUCUUUGCAUUUCUGAGUGGUUGGAUAGUCUGUCUCUCCUACUGAUUAUCAGGGAUGACUGGUUACCUCAUCUUCACAAAUGGAGAUGACUGUUUCCAACUCCUCUCACUUUGGUCACUUUUAGUGUGUGUGGCCCAACUUGCCACCAGCUCCACAUCUAUAGGAUCUAGAUAACCCCAUGGCUCCAUAUUACAAAAAUAAUUUAAGAUUAGCAUCAAGAUGUUUGCAUAAGAUGUUUGUGAGAGAUAAAAUGAGACUAAAAUAAACACUGCAAUGGUACUUAUUAGGAUUGAGGUGUAAAUAUGACUCUGAAUUUCAUAGGUUUUUUUGUCUUAGAUAAGAAAGCCAUGCGACAAGAGAGGCAGAGUCAGAGAAGAUGCUAUGCUGAUGGCUUUGAAAACUGAAAGGGUCACAAGUCAAAUAAGAUGGGCAGACUCUCUGUCUCUGGAGUCUUCCUCAAGAAAACUUCUAGAGUUUUCCUAGCUUCUAAGCCAGGAAAUGUGAGGAAACAGACCCUCUUCUGGAGCCCCCAGAAGGAACCAGCCCUGUGAAUGCCUUGGUUUUAGCCCAGUAAGCUUCAUUUCAAACUUCUGACCUCUAGAACUAUAAAAGAAUAAAUUUGUGUUGAUUUUUAAAAAAUCUACUAUUCUUUAUAUAUAGACAUACACACACACACACACACACACACACACACAUUGUAUUCACAACCUAGCGAUGCUAUAACAAUACCGUAAACUGUUUAAAAUAGAAAUUUUUUGUCUCACAGUUUCAGAGGCUGGAAGUCUGAAGUCAUGCUGUUGGCCGACCCACAUUCCCUCUGAAACCGACAGGGGAAUCCUCUGCCUCUUCCUGGCCUCUGCUGGUUUCCAGCAAUCCUUGGCGCUGCUUGGCUGGCAGAUGCAUGAUUCCAACCUUUCAUCUUCACACAGCAUUCUCUCCGAGCAUCUUCACAUCAUCUUCCCUGUGUGUCUGAUUCUGUGUCCAAAUUUCUUUUUUCACAAGGCUACCAGUCAUACCAGAUUAGGGCCUGCCCUAAUGACCUCAUUGUAACUUUCUUAUCUCUGUGAAGACCCUAUUUCCAAAUCCAGUCCCCUUCUGAGGGACUAGGGGCUGGGACUUCAACAUAUCUUUUCUGAGGGGACAUAAUUCAACCCAUAAAACAUACAUCUACAGAUAAUUUUAUGUAGAGGCCUAAAUAUGGCCAUAUGCAUACAUUUUCAUUUAUUUUUAGUGACUUUUUAAACUUCUUUUAACUGAGCUCUGUCCUUCCCUUCUUCUCCCUCUUUCAACGUCAGCAGCCUUCCCUCCUCCCCGACCAUGGCAACCAAUCUCAACAACCUAAUAUGCAUCCUCUGUCCAGCUCUCUGUACUUAGAUAAUCCCAUACAGAUGUACACACACAGAGUUUAUCAUUUUUUCCCUCAAUAGGAUAUAUGUGCUCUUUUUUCCUUCAGUAGUAUCUUAUGGGAAUCCCUCCAAAUCAUUUGGUUUAACUGUAAUUCAUAUUUUUAUUCAUUAAAAAUAUUACUUUGUUUGAGAAAUAUUAUAAAUUAUUAAGCCACUGCUUGGUUGAUGAGCAUUCUCUUUUUUCCUGUUUUUACUCUCUGAACAAUGCUGCAGCAAACCUCUGUGUUCGUAUGUCCUUAACACUACCCUUUUAUUUCUACUGGGCUACACUCCAAAGAGUGCAAUUGCUGGAACGAGGGGUACGUGUCCUUUUAAUUUUAAUAGAUAUUGUCAAAUGUAUUUCCCAAAAGAUUUUAGCACAUCACAGUUCACCAGCAGAGUAUCAGAGUACAUUCCUGUCAGGACUCUGAGCCCAAGCUAAGCCGUCAUAUCCCCGGUGACCUGCACAUAUACAUCCAGAUGGCCUGAAGCAACUGAAGAUCCACAAAAGAUAACAUUCCACCAUUGUGAUCUGUUCCUGCCCCACCCUAACUGAUCAAUUGACUUUGUGACAAUACACCCUCCCCGCCCUUGCGAUAACGUACUUUGUGAUAUUCCGCCGCCCUCGAGAAUGUACUUUGUAAUAUUCUCCCCCACCCUUAAGAAGGUACUUUGUAAUAUUCUUCCCAUCCUUGAGAAUGUACUUUGUAAGAUCCACCCCCUGCCCACAAAAAUUGCUCCUAACUCCACCGCCUAUCCCAAACCUAUAAGAACUAAUGAUAAUCCCACCACCCUUUGCUGACUCCUUUUUCAGACUCAGCCCGCCUGCACCCAGGUGAAAAAAACAGCCUUGUUGCUCACACAAAGCCUGUUUGAUGGACUCUCUUCACACGGACGCAUGUCACAAUUCCUAUCUCCAACACUAGCAUAUGAUAUUAUAGCUCUUUUCUCCAGUCUAAGUGUAAAAUGGUGUUCUAUUGUUAACUUCCAUUUGCUUUUUUCUGACCACUAGUGAAUAUGAGCAUGUGGGCUAGCCGUUUCAAUGUCUGUGAAGUGUUUAUCCUUUGUGCAUCUUUAUCUCAUCAUUUUGCCCUUUUCUCAUCAAAUUUAAGAGCUUUUAUCAUAGGCAUAAACUGUCACUUGCAUUACAAAUGUACUUUUCUUAUUUUGUAUUAACCUGUUGACUUUAUAAUUUUAAAAGUCUUUCCUUUCCUUCUUUUAUAGCUUCUAGUCACAGUUUAAAAGGUCUCUCCCACCCCUAGAAUAUACACAUAGCCUGCCAGAUUUUUAAACAAUACCUUGUUAUAUUUUUUACAUUUAAAAUUUUAAUCUGAAAUGGAUUUUUCCAUGCGGCAUAAGGAGUCCAUAUUUAUUUUCUUCCAAAUGGAGAGCCAGUUGGGCCAGUGCCAUCUAUCAUACAUCUUUUCCCCAUUGUUUUAUAUUAAAGUCUCAUUUAUACUGGGAUUUGUAUCUGGCUAUUUCUAGCAGCCACUGUAAAGAGGAAACACAAAUGCCUGGAAGGGUAACCAACAUUUUAGCCAUUGUAAUUUUGAGGUGUUGAGAAUUUAGGUAAUUAUUCUUCAUUGCUUUGCUGUAUGGUUUUUUUCCAUAAUAAACAUGCAUUAUUGGUGUUACAAAAAUAAAUGGAUGGUGGGGGGCAGGGGGAGGACCAGUAAACACAAUUAGUUUCAUCAUUCAUAGUGUCUGUCCCGGGACAAAUACAAGCCAGCAACUACCAGCAGCAGCAUUGCUAUUCCUGGAAUGGAGACCUGAGAAGAUUUUACCCUCAGGGAGAAAUGUAAUAGGGUUGUUCCCAGAGACACUGGAAAAUCUCUUUAAAUGCCAGCUUGCCGGAGGUGGGGACUGAUUAAGUUUUGGGAAGUCAUUUCAUUCAGUAAGCUCAUUGUGAAAUAAGCAUGAGGUGGUGAUUUAAUGUGUGAUUGGCAGGCAUUGCAUAUUCAAGCACAAGGAGUUUAAUUGAUUGGAAGAGCAGGUUGCCCUGAGCUGAUGCAAUAAAUACUAAGGUUGAGUGUGCUGUUUGAAACUAGUGAAGUGAUGCAAUCAUCUCCCAUGUUCAGCAGCAGCCUAAUUGCUGGCAAGAAUUUAAAUGCUUAAAACGGUACUUGGAUGAUUACAGAGCACAUUCAAAUUAUGUAAAAGUGACCAGAUCCCAUAGCUCCAGGGCACAGCAUCUGUCCUUAAGUGAUAAGGGUCAGUUAAAGCUCUAAAACUGUAAACAGUGCAUUGGCCCCAUUGAAGCCCCUGGAGGAAAUUUGCAGAGUCACAGCCAUCUGCUGCCUAAAAUAACAAGUAGCAGGGUCCCUUCCCAGCGCAAAAUGGCCACCUAGCAGCACAGCCCAAGGUGACCUGCACAGGCUCCCAGCCUUUUCCACCUUGCACAUUACCUUAGGGAAGGUCAAAGUAUGAGUAUUAGCCAAAACCUUCUACAGUCCCCUUGAAGGCCUGGGAUUUGCAGGAACUAGUGUCUGCUGCAAAUAAAAGUACAUACUGGGAUUCCAGUUCAUGCCGGAGGAACCCUAAAACAGUAGUGAAUGGUUUCCCCAAGCCUGCUUAUGUUAGAUAUGAGUUCUAAAUUUCAAAGAAUAUGUCAGUAUGUUCAAUUAUUUGUCUUCUACUUUUAAACUUCCUCAUAAAGCAACCUUUUCCGAUUACAUUCUCCACCCUGACUCAUUCUGAUUACCUGCUCUGUCAUAACCAUUUUUCCCGCCAAACCACUCACCCCCGCCACUCUCUUUAAGUUAGCCAAUCGGAAUUAGUUUAGCCUGUGCUGUCUAACCCUAGCCAAUAGAGGAACGACACAGCAGAGGGGCCACGUGCCCAUCAGGGACAAGAACCCCUUCCUUUCCCUUGUCCAAGUGUGCGCUCAUCAUUGCUCCAUCUGUAAGGGCACACUCUUCUGUAGAAGUAACUUGCCUUGCUGAGAAUUAAAAAUAA